rnacentral:rRNA from 1 species
UCAAAUGUAAUAAGGCAUACGGUGGAGACCUAGGCACUCAGAGCCGAUGAAGGACGUAGUUACCGGCGAUACGCUUAGGGGAGCUGGAAACAAGCUAUGAUCCUAAGAUUUCCGAAUGGGGCAACCUUUAAUACUCCCAACUGAAUUCAUAAGUUGGGCAGAGGCAACCUAGCGAAUUGAAACAUCUUAGUAGCUAGAGGAACAGAAAGCAAACGCGAUUCCCGUAGUAGCGGCGAGCGAACCGGGGUAAGCCUAAACGAAUUUACUAAAAUUCGGGUAGUGGGAAACAGAAAUACUGUACCGUAGAUGGUGAAAAAAGUCCAGUAGUAUGUUUAUCCCGAGUAGCAUGGGACACGUGGAAUCCCGUGUGAAUCAACGAGGACCACCUCGCAAGGCUAUAAUACUCCUGAGUGACCGAUAGCGAAAUAGUACCGCGAGGGAAAGGUGAAAAGUACGUUUAUAGAAAACGAGUGAAAUAGUACACGAAACCGUAUGCUGACAAGCUGUGGGAGGAGUAUAUGCUCUGACCGCGUGCCUGUUGAAGUAUGAGCCGGCGACUCAGAGAAAGUGGCGUCAUUUUCUCUGGACCCGAACGCGUAUGAUCUAAUCAUGACCAGUGUGAAGCUUGGGUGACACUAAGUGGAGGUACGAACCGACCGAUGCUGAAAAAUCGGCGGAUGAGUUGUGAUUAGCGGAGAAAUUCCAAUCGAAUACGCAGCUAGCUGGAUCUCCCCGAAAUGCGUUUAGGCGCAGCGUCGACGACGAACUAUCAUGGGGUAAAGCAACUGUUUCGGUGCGGGCUGCGAAAGCGGUACCAAAUCGUGGCAAACUCUGAAUACAUGAUAUGUCUACCGUCAGGCAGUGAGACUAUCGGUGAUAAGAUCGAUUGUCAAGAGGGAAACAGCCCAGAUCACCAGCUAAGGCCCCAAAAUGAUUACUAAGUGUAAAAGGAUGUGAGAUGCAUAAACAACCAGGAAAUUUGCUUAGUGGCAGCAAUUUUUUAAAGAAAGCGUAACAGCUCACUGGAUAAAGCGUUCUUGCGCCGACAAUGCUCGGGACUACAAGUAAUCUGCCGAAGCUGUGAGAUUUCUAAUAUAGAAAUCGGUAGGGGAGCGUUCUGUAAAGGGCGAAAUCCUAGUGUAAACUAGGGUGGACGAUACAGAAGUGAGAAUGUCGGCUUGAGUAACGAAAACAUUGGUGAGAAUCCAAUGCCCCGAAAACCGUAGGGUUCCUCCACUAGGUUCGUCCGUGGGGGGUUAGUCAGGUCCUAAGGCUAGGCCGAAAGGCGUCGUCGAUGGAAAACCGGUUAAUAUUCCGGUACUUAUUAAACAAAUAAAACAAGUGACGGAGAAGGCUAAACUACCUGUACCUUAAACCGACACAGGUAGGUGAGUAGAGUAUACUAAGGGGCGCGAGAUAACUCUCUCUAAGGAACUCGGCAAAUUAGCCCCGUAACUUCGGAAGAAGGGGUGUAUACGUAAGACGCGUUGAAAUAGGCGUAACUACGUGUAUCGCAGUGACCAGGCUCUGGCGACUGUUUAAUAAAAACACAAGUCUCCGCAAAGUCGUAAGAUCAUAUAUGGGGGCUGACGCCUGCCCAGUGCCGGAAGGUUAAGGAAGGUGGUUAUGUAGAAGCUGACGACUGAAGCCCCGGUGAACGGCGGCCGUAACUAUGACGGUCCUAUGGUAGCGAAAUUCUUUGUCGGGUAAGUUCCGACCUGCACGAAAGGCGUAACGAUCAGAGCGCUGUCUCGGAGAGAGACUCGGUGAAAUAGAAAUGUCUGUGAAGAUACGGACUACUAAUACCUGGACAUUAAGACCCUAUGCAGCUUUACUGUAUCCUGGAAUUGGGCUCGGGUUUUUCUUGCGCAGCCUAGGUGGGAGGCGUCGACGGUUUUCUUUCGGGAAAGUCUGAGCCUACAUUGAGAGACCACUCUGGAAAAACUAGAGUCCUAAUAGUGAUCUUUGAAUCAAGACACUAAACAGUUUCAGGUGGACAGUUUGUUUGGGGCGAACACUUCCUAAAGGGUAACGGAGGUGCACAAAGGUUUCCUCAGCCUGGACGGAAAUCAGGUGUUGAGUGUAAAGGCAAAAGGGAGCUUGACUGCAAGACCUACAAGUCGAGCAGGGGCGAAAGCCGGUCUUAGUGAUCCGGCGGUACCGUGUGGAAGGGCCGCCGCUUAUCGGAUAAAAGUUACGCUAGGGAUAACAGGCUGAUCUUGCCCAAGAGUUCUCAUCGACGGCAAGGUUUGGCACCUCAUCAUGGGGUCUCCCUAUAGUGAUAUAGGGAUGACAGUUUAGCUGUAUGCUGGGACCUCCGUCCACUAAUUAAAUGAAUUAAAUGAAGUGGUAAGUAUCCUUAAAUUAAAAAAUAAUAAAGGUGCGGACAAUCAGCAGGGAAGUCCUCUUCAAAAUAGGGAUAACAUAAUCACUGUUAAGAAUGACCCCUCAACGACUACACGCCGAACAACUUGGAAAUAAACCUCGAAGUUGAUGAUAUAGUCUGAACUACUAGGCGACUAGUAGAUAACACAAUUGCGAUGUCGGAUCGUCGCAUCCUGGGGCGGUAGUACGUCCCAAGGGUUGGGCUGUUCGCCCAUUAAAGCGGUACGUGAUCUGGGUUUAAAACGUUGUGAAACAGUUUGGUCCAUAUCCGGUAUUAGCGUUACAACCUUGAGGAGGCCUUGACAUAGUACGAGAGGACCUGUUAGGGUAGGCCUAUGGUGUAUCGGUUAUCGCACCAGCGGUACAUGCCGAGUAGCUAUGCCUAAUUGAAUAACUGCUGACAGCAUAUAAGUAGGAAGUCUUCUCUAAGAUGAGGGUUGUUUAAUAAGAAAUAUAUUAGAAAGUCGCAGAAAGAGAAUCUGUUUGAUAGGUGUUAGGUGUAAGACUAGUAAUAGUUGUAGCCGAGAUAUACUAAAGAC